rnacentral:rRNA from 1 species
CCUACGGGUGGCAGCAGUGAGGAAUAUUGGUCAAUGGGCUUACGCCUGAACCAGCCAAGUCGCGUGAGGGAAGACUGCCCUAUGGGUUGUAAACCUCUUUUGUCAGGGAGCAAUUGGCGCUACGUGUAGCGUUAUCGAGAGUACCUGAAGAAAAAGCAUCGGCUAACUCCGUACCAGCAGCCGCGGUAAUACGGAGGAUGCGAGCGUUAUCCGGAGUUAUUGGGUUUACAGGUUGCGUAGGCGGAAUGCCAAGUCAGCGGUAAAAUCGCGGGGCUCAACCUCGCUCCGCCGGUGAAACUGGCGGUCUUGAGUGGGCGAGAAGUAUGCGGAAUGCGUGGUGUAGCGGUGGAAUGCAUAGAUAUCACGCAGAACUCCGAUUGCGAAGGCAGCAUACCGGCGCCCAACUGACGCUGAAGCACGAAAGCGUGGGUAUCGAACAGGAGUAGAUACCCGAGUAGUC